UACGUAGGGACCGAGCGUUGUCCGGAUUCAUUGGGCGUAAAGAGCUCGUAGGCGGCUUGUCGCGUCGUCCGUGAAAACUUGGGGCUCAACCCCAAGCUUGCGGUCGAUACGGGCAGGCUAGAGUUCGGUAGGGGAGACUGGAAUUCCUGGUGUAGCGGUGAAAUGCGCAGAUAUCAGGAGGAACACCGGUGGCGAAGGCGGGUCUCUGGGCCGUAACUGACGCUGAGGAGCGAAAGCGUGGGGAGCGAACAGG
rnacentral:rRNA from 1 species